UACGUAGGGUCCGAGCGUUGUCCGGAAUUACUGGGCGUAAAGCGCGCGCAGGCGGCCCGCGAGGUGUCACGUGAAAGCCCCGGGCUCAACCCGGGAGGGUCGUGGCAAACCGGCGGGCUUGAGGCCGGUAGAGGUGGGUGGAAUUCCCGGUGUAGCGGUGAAAUGCGCAGAUAUCGGGAAGAACACCCGUGGCGAAGGCGGCUCUCUGGGACGGUACUGACGCUGAGACGCGAAAGCGUGGGGAGCGAACAGG
rnacentral:rRNA from 1 species